rnacentral:rRNA from 1 species
GAUGAACGCUGGCUACAGGCUUAACACAUGCAAGUCGAGGGGAAACGACGGGGAAGCUUGCUUCCCCGGGCGUCGACCGGCGCACGGGGGAGUAACGCGUAUCCAACCUGCCUCUGACUGAGGGAUAACCCGUCGAAAGUCGGCCUAAUACCUCAUGGCAUCGUCUGCGGGCAUCCAACGACGAUUAAAGAUUUCAUCGGUCAGGGAUGGGGAUGCGUCUGAUUAGCUAGUUGGCGGGGUAACGGCCCACCAAGGCUACGAUCAGUAGGAGUUCUGAGAGGAAGGUCCCCCACAUUGGAACUGAGACACGGUCCAAACUCCUACGGGAGGCAGCAGUGAGGAAUAUUGGUCAAUGGGCGGGAGCCUGAACCAGCCAAGUAGCGUGCAGGAUGACGGCCCUAUGGGUUGUAAACUGCUUUUAUGCGGGGAUAAAGUGAGGGACGUGUCCUUCAUUGCAGGUACCGCAUGAAUAAGGACCGGCUAAUUCCGUG